GACGAACGCUGGCGGCGUGCCUAAUACAUGCAAGUAGAACGCUGAAGGAGGAGCUUGCUUCUCUGGAUGAGUUGCGAACGGGUGAGUAACGCGUAGGUAACCUGCCUGGUAGCGGGGGAUAACUAUUGGAAACGAUAGCUAAUACCGCAUAAUAGUAGAUGUUGCAUGACAUUUGCUUAAAAGGUGCAAUUGCACCACUACCAGAUGGACCUGCGUUGUAUUAGCUAGUUGGUGGGGUAACGGCCCACCAAGGCGACGAUACAUAGCCGACCCGAGAGGGUGAUCGGCCACACUGGGACUGAGACACGGCCCAGACUCCUACGGGAGGCAGCAGUAGGGAAUCUUCGGCAAUGGACGGAAGUCUGACCGAGCAACGCCGCGUGAGUGAAGAAGGUUUUCGGAUCGUAAAGCUCUGUUGUAAGAGAAGAACGAGUGUGAGAGUGGAAAGUUCACGCUGUGACGGUAUCUUACCAGAAAGGGACGGCUAACUACGUGCCAGCAGCCGCGGUAAUACGUAGGUCCCGAGCGUUGUCCGGAUUUAUUGGGCGUAAAGCGAGCGCAGGCGGUUAGAUAAGUCUGAAGUUAAAGGCUGUGGCUUAACCAUAGUACGCUUUGGAAACUGUUUAACUUGAGUGCAAGAGGGGAGAGUGGAAUUCCAUGUGUAGCGGUGAAAUGCGUAGAUAUAUGGAGGAACACCGGUGGCGAAAGCGGCUCUCUGGCUUGUAACUGACGCUGAGGCUCGAAAGCGUGGGGAGCAAACAGG
rnacentral:rRNA from 1 species